AGUGGGGAAUAUUGCACAAUGGAGGAAACUCUGAUGCAGCAACGCCGCGUGGAGGAUGACGCAUUUCGGUGUGUAAACUCCUUUUAUAUAGGAAGAUAAUGACGGUACUAUAUGAAUAAGCACCGGCUAACUCCGUGCCAGCAGCCGCGGUAAUACGGAGGGUGCAAGCGUUACUCGGAAUCACUGGGCGUAAAGCGCAUGCAGGCGGUUUAUUAAGUUGGAAGUGAAAUCCUAUGGCUCAACCAUAGAACUGCUUCCAAAACUGAUAAACUAGAGUCUGGGAGGGGAAGAUGGAAUUAGUAGUGUAGGGGUAAAAUCCGUACAGAUUACUAUGAAUACCAAAAGCGAAGGCGAUCUUCUGGAACAGUACUGACGCUGAGAUGCUAAAGCGUGGGGAGCAAACAGGAUUAGAUACCCUGGUAGUCCACGCAGUAAACGAUGAAUGUUAGUCGUUGGGACUCUAGUAGUUUCAGUGAUGCAGUUAACACAUUAAACAUUCCGCCUGGGGAGUACGGUCGCAAGAUUAAAACUCAAAGGAAUAGACGGGGACCCGCACAAGUGGUGGAGCAUGUGGUUUAAUUCGAAGAUACGCGAAGAACCUUACCUAGCCUUGACAUACUACAGAAUUUGACAGAGAUGUUGAAGUGCCUUCGGGAGCUGUAAUACAGGUGCUGCACGGCUGUCGUCAGCUCGUGUCGUGAGAUGUUGGGUUAAGUCCCGCAACGAGCGCAACCCUCGUCCUUAGUUACUAACGGUUCGGCCGAGGACUCUAAGGAGACUGCCUUCGUAAGGAGGAGGAAGGUGAGGACGACGUCAAGUCAUCAUGGCCCUUACGGCUAGGGCAACACACGUGCUACAAUGGUUAGGACAAUGAGAAGCGAUACCGCGAGGUGGAGCAAAUCUAUAAACCUAAUCUCAGUUCGGAUAGCAGUCUGCAACUCGACUGCUUGAAGCUGGAAUCACUAGUAAUCGUAAAUCAGCUAUGUUACGGUGAAUACGU
rnacentral:rRNA from 1 species